CCCAGGCCCACAGGACAGGGCAUGGUUAAGCAUGGUGGCACACAUGCUUUUAAUCCCAGCACUCAGGAGGCAAAUGUAUGUGGAUCUCUGUGAGUUCAAGGCCAGGGCCAUGGGGAAGGCAGAUGGACUAUUGCCAGGAGCACUGCCCUGGUUAGAAGACUCUUCUUGUUCUGCAGCUCCCUCCACCAGGUACCAAACCCAGAUCAUCAGGCUUGCACAGCAAGCACUUGUAGAACCAGCCCCUACCGGUUCAUCAACAGCAGCUCUAGGACGGAGAAUCUCAGAGCUGUCCAGCACAUGCGGCUACACAGACCUUCUCUCAUGAAGCUUCCCUGGCUGGACCCAUCAACCGUUAGCAUCCUGUGCUCGAGGGUACCUUGGAGCUGCUUGGUAGGGGUCGCAGCCUGUGCUGUCACAGGAGGCCCUGCAGCAUGUGUCUUGGGAAGCUGGCAACGCUCUUUUCCUAUUGUUCCUUUUAGGGUCUGUCUCUCCCACAGUCUCGGAUCCCACUGGACGUACUAUGUCAGUAGGUAGCUAGGUGAUUCAGAUGUCUAGCAUUGUGGAGGUUGCCUCUACUGCUCCUAGAGAAGCAACAAGCAAUAUAAGUAACUGGAGCAUCGUUUCUGGCUCCAGAUCCUGGGCCAUUUGCCACAUUAGCACUGUACCCCUCCCUGCCCCUUUUAGAAACACAACAAGGGACGCUCCUCAGGCCUCUGUGGGAUGACUCCAUCUUGUCCUUCUUGACUCCCAGGUCUGGCCAGGGACCUUUUCAGUGCAUAUCGGGGACCCAGACACCCUGCCAUAGAGGAGAUCUGGGCCAGGCCAUGGGAGAGUUGGGUGUAGGCAGGAUGUCUGGCAGAGCUAUUGCUGAAGCUAGUCACUGUCCAAAGAGGGCCAGUGCCCAGGAGGGGCCUCAGCAGGGAUUGAAGCCAGGCCUGACAAGUUUGGCCUCUGUCACAAGCAUAGCAUCCAGAGACAGCACAUGGCUGCAGCUGAGUCCCCAGGGCCGGAAGGGACAGCCAGGAUAAAGUGGAGGUGCAGGGCCCUUCUUCCAUAGGGCUCCGGAUAUGCCUGUGUGCACGGAGGCAGCAGAGAGAGGCUAUGGGGAGCACCCAGCACAAGGGACUCCUGCGUGCUAUGUAGAGGGCUCUGUGGGAGCCACAGGGACAAGCUCGGCACGUGUCCUGGCCAGGCUACUUUCCCUGCUGGCCCCAAGCCACGGCCAGUUGGGGACACAGUGUGCAGAGGGAACAGGGUGUGUGUUUGCUCAGGGCGCCUGGAGCCCGGCAUGGGACAAGGGCCCAUUGUGUCCCCAACCAUCCUGGCUAGUCCGGCCCCACUUGCCCAUCCAUGGUGCUCCACCUCCAUUUCUGCCCUCUGACCCCUCACCACUGCCCACAGCACUCUCCCUUCUCAGCAUGCAUUCAUAUCACCUUGCCAACGCUAAGUAUCAGUCCACACUUAAUGCCCUGAGACCUCCUGCCUAUACCCACACCCCAUGUCCCUCUCCUUGCCACCCCCUCCCAUGAUGCCCACUGCCCUUCUACCGACACCCCCACAUGGUGACCCCACGUCCACACAGUUCAUGGCAUAUCCCCACAGCGAGUCCUCACAUCCUUACACUUCCUGAUGCCCACUCCAGGCUCAUGCAGGUCCAUCCACAAGCACAAACUCAUUAUCUCUGUAGACCCAGUCUCCCUCAGGGUGACUUGGUGAUCCUGGACAAGAUCCCACUGGCCCUAAAGAACAGAGAAGCCAGGCUGCUGGGAAUCUGGUCUGGGGAACAUCAGGUUGGUAACUGAGUAUCCAAUCAGCUACCCCACAGCUAAGGAAUGAACUACCAGUGGCCAGCUGGGGGUCGCCUGAGGUUGCUGUCCUGCCAGCACACACACAAGGGCUGUGACAGCCUCCUCCUAGACCCAAUGGACUGCACUCAGUGAGGCAGAGCCCAGCUGGCAACCCGUGUCUGCAGAGGCCCCUCAUAAGGUAGGUUGGGAAAUGGUUGGCGAGUGGCUAGACUUCCUAGCCUCACUGCUAGCCCAGCUACGUUUGCAGGGGGAUUGGGAGGAGGUUGUCUCCAUACUCCUCCACGAUGCAGAUAUCCUUACUCAGCUGCAAAGUGUCUCCUCAUGCCAAGCCGCACAGAACCCUCGGGUUAAGCAGCGCUGUCUAGCUCACCAGUAAGAUAAUUAAACAGAGGCUGAGCACCACAAGGGCAUGGGCUGGGGGCUGGGGCCUGACGGACAUAGGGAGUCAAUGUGCUUGCAGUGUGGGUCCCUAUUCCAAUGUGAAUUUUACAGAGGUUAAGGGCUGAUGGUGCAGAACCGGUCUGACUGGUGCAGCUGCACUGUGUGUGUGUGUGUGUGUGUGUGUGUGUGUGUGUGUGUGUGUGUGUGUGUGUGUUUGCUUGCUCGCUCGCUCGCUCACGUGGAUGUGUGCACUGGGACCCAGCCAGGAGGAGGCAGGCAGGUCAGAGGCCUGUGCGUCAUGGGUAUUACCUACAUCAGGUAGCCACCUGCUGGGGGUGUUGGCUCAGCUGGGAGUGGCAGAACAGGUAGAGUUGAGCCUUGGAGGCUAAGAUAGAGGGAGAGGAAUAGGUGGGCUGGACAGCACCCAAAGGCACACUCCACCCAUCUUCAUAGGUCAGAAGCACAAAGGACAUGGCAAAGCUAGGAAAAGCCAACCUCACUGGGAGGCCGGACCUGGACCGGGUCCCCAGGUGUUGAAAGACUUCAGUCUCUAGCCCCAUCUCAGCCUGUGCUUGUCCUAACCUCAGUCCCUGAGCAGCCGGCCAACACUCCAAGCCCUUGAGCUAGCUACAGCAGGGCUGCUCUGACAGCCGCACUGCUUCUCAUUCCUUUGACCCCACCGGCCAGGUUGGCUUCAUUCUGGCUUUGCCUAGGAGCCCCUUAGUGGCUCCACAUUGGCUUGGACAGUCACUAAAUUUCCUCAGCCAAACAAGAUUUCAGAAGAAAAGAUCUGGCUGAGGUCCCCUCGCCCCUACCAAACCAUCCCAUCCAGUCUGUCCCAAGCUUCUGGGUACUCUUACCGGAUCAAUGGCAGCACCUGGCACAGGGACCUGUGAGGGUCAGGGCUCCUGCUCCCCCACCACAGCUUCUGUGGGCCUAGUUCUAAGUCCAAAUAUGACUAUACACCCAGGCCCCCUUAUGGCCACCGUGGGGCCAGCCACUUUGCUUUCUCAAGCCUCAGUUUCCCUACCUAUAAACAAUAAUCAGGAAGAUGUCAAGGUGGAGCAGAACCUGUCUACAGGUCCUGAAUAUGGGAGCGCUGCUGACCAUUGCUCUCUCCUGCCAGCUAGCCUAUUCCCUUGACAGUCUGCCAAGGCCUAGACGACCCUACCAAGACCUGAGCCAACUCCUGUAGCCUCCAGGCCAUUCCAGUACAGUAUCUCUGGCCGGAGGAGCUUACUGAGUUGGGCUUUAAGACAAAGCCCUGGCCAAGGUCCUAGGACAUGUGGGAGCAUCGAACUGGGUCCUGGAGGUGAAAGGUAGUUCUGUAUGCUGGGAAGAGCCAAGAUGCCGGAACAGCUCAGGAUCUGCUUAUAGACACUAAAGGUUUCCUCUCAAGUCCUACCAUGUGGCUGGAGCUCUCAGCAAACCCAUUCUACAGCUGGGAACUGAGGCCCAAUCUCUGCCUUUCCUCCUCGGGCAACAGGGAUUCAGUGAGCAGGAGUCUCACAUGGUCAGAAACCUCCAGAGACAGAUAACGCCGAGGAGGACCCUUGCUUGCAGAGCAGUAGCGGACCUCUGGGCUCGGGCUACAGGUGUAUCAGGUGAGGGCCUACACGGCAGGCCCGAUGGCACCAAGUGGAUGGUGCUUUUGCUGCUGUCCUUGGGCCAGCCUCCAUCUGGGGUCCCAGAUCAGUCAACUUGUUCUCCUGGGCGGGUUACCAGGGCCGGGUCGAAACCCUAAAGCUGAGUGCGUCCCAGAAACUACGAGUCAGCGGCUCCCCUCCCACAGCCAUCAGGGAGGCUAAAGCCACUCUGGGAACACCCAGGCAAGGGUGUGACUGAGACCGGGACCUGAAGAAAGAAAAGACAGGAGCAGGUCAGGGACCAACAGUGAUCUCCUUUGCACGCAUUGCCUGGGGUUCACCAGCCUUCUCCUUGGAUUCUGGACUUGUCGUACCUGCUUAGGUUGUUAGUUCUUUCCCCCAAGGGACUAGAAAGCUGGUCCCCUGCUCUGGGCAUCUCCUACCCCCAGUUAAACCACUGGCCACCAUUACUUAAUAGAUGUAUGCCUGUGCUCAGAUGGGGACCUGGGGUUAGCAACAGUGGCUGGCUGGACUUCAAGGGCAAUGGUCGAGAGACUUCAUGCCCUGGCCCCACUAGAUCCUAAGGAACGCUGAUCUCUCUUCUCUUUCUUGCACAACUGCGGGCCUGAACCUGGCCGGGGAACUCAGAGUCAUAACUUUGUCCCCAAAUCUUUGAAAAGGACUAGAUUACAGACUUAUGGGUGACAUCAGCACUCUAGCUUGGUGCUGACUAAAAGGCUUAGCGGGUUAUCUGCUCAUCCCUUUCCUCCCCCCAGCUUCAGCCCCCACCCCAUCAGCUUUCGUCCCCACCCCUUUCCCCUCUCGUUCCUCUACUGGACUGCAGGCCUGGCUGGGGCUGACCUUUCCCUAGCCCAAGGACAGCAGGAUGUGCUCAGAAAAGGAGGUGUGUUCAGAGGGCAGGAUGGUCAGGUGUGAGGCAGGGAGCCUGCGUAGGCUUGGUAUGGUCAGCCAGCACCGGCUCCUAGGUACCCCCAACAUAGCUUUGCAGCUUAGUCCCAGGAAGCCAAGCAGGGUGGUGUGUAGACAGUGGGAGUGACUGCUUAGGCCUGGGAGGCCAAUGCUGACACAGGCCAAUGGACUGAGGACAGAGGGUCUUCUAGUGCCAGACUGUGGCCUGGCACCUACAGCCCCAAGGAGCCAAUGUUAACUCAAUAACCACGGAUGUCAGGAGAGACGGUAGGAGCUGGAGGGGAUUCCAGUGGAGAAGGGCUUGAGGCCUGUAGGCUGCUAAAGCUACUUAAGUAGGGUGG
rnacentral:lncRNA from 1 species